rnacentral:lncRNA from 1 species
GAUCUUCAACAUCUCAAAUAUUCUUAACUCAUACUCAUGUGAAUCUAGUUCCCAGGAUGUGCACUAGAUUCACACUUUCAUCUCAAGCAUGAUUAUACAUAGCAAACACAAAUAAGAUGAAAGCGAUUAUAAACUACAUCUACUUUAGUUACAUUGGCCGACCGGCCAAAUAAAUAAUAGAACAACGGAAGCCUGUCUACCCAAUCCACAAGCACACCGACUAGGGGUUUACCCCAUUAAGUUCAAGUCCUAGAAGAAGCCGUCGAUUACCCGCAUCACUCAAAGACUAAGUCUAAAACCUGCAAGCAAAAGAUUAAUUCAAUAGCAAGAGUCAGUACAUUAUUAGAAAUAAUAUACUGGCAAGCACCAAGACAAGCCUAACACUCUACUUGCAAGGCAUAUAAUCAAGGAAGGCAUAAUAUGGUUCUUUUUAGCAUAAAGCAAGUUUUAUUUGCAUAAAACAUUUCUAAAUCUGGUUUACUUUCAAAUAAAUUUCAGCAAGCUAGUACUUAGCAUAUGGGCAUCAAAGUAGGCAUUAAUCAUGUAUAAAUAUUCACCUCAUUGCCAUCCAUGGCAGCAAGGAGAUCAUUCUCAAAUCUCAUCACAAUUUGAAAGUAAAUUUCAGCAUUUAGGAGAAUAAACACAAGUCUAUACUCAAUAUAUAUCCACACGCCGCUCUUGACCGUGAGCACGGCUAAUCAAUUAGUUUUGACUCUGCAAAGUUUGUACACUUUACCCACAUGAUGCGAAAUAAUAAUCAUGCAAGAGCAUGGCACGCGAUACAUAAGUACCCGAUUUAUUACCCGCAACAAAGCUUUUCCAAAAUUCAUGAUUUAGCCUUACACCAGCACGAUACGUGUUACUCCAUCCUAAGCCAUACUCGAUAUAUAACCUAGAACCGUUAAGUGGCGGGUCCACGCCUUAAACUUAACGCCGUGGUGGCGGACACAACGGGAACCCACCACGUGGCACAAUACCGUUGUAUUGGACACGCUUAGUCACCUAAACUACCACGUCGGGGUAAAUAGGAAGCUCCUCUGAAUUAUACGAACUCAUACACACCGGCCUACCAGAAUGUAAGGCUAAACCAUAAAUAGUUUACUAAGCUUGGGCUAUCCCAUACUAGCACAUGUGGUUGUACUGUAUACGGAAUGAACUGACAUUGAGUGAAGUCCUUAAGUCGGUUUGGGCGCACACUCCCCCUAUCAGUACACAACUAAUCACCAUAUGUGCACCACUUGAGGCCCAAACCUAAAAUUCAUGUUUUCCACCAUUUUGUUUAUCAAAAUCACAAGUAUUAAAGUUCUGCCCAGAUUAUUUAAAAAUCAAUUUUCAUGUUUGUAAUGAGCCCAUAAUGACAAGGAAGACUAUUCUAAGCAUGGCUAAGCAUUAUAGUAACCUAGUGUCACCAAAACUCAUAUAUAAAGUGGUAUAGUCAUAUUGUUCCUAAGGUUAGGAAUGAGGGAUAUGGAUAUAUGUGGAGUUAAGGUGAUAAUGUAAGUAGUAGGAGUUUGUCUAACAAGUUUAACAAAAUUUUAAUUUAUUAGUGUACAAUCGACAUGCAAGAUUUGCAAAUAUUUUCAAUAACCUCCAAAACAUAGGUUCAAAGUAAUCAAAGAGAGGGAGGUGGGACUUGCCUUGAAUCAAGAAAAUGUCAGCGCCUAAAUCAUUUCUUCACCGUUUAAGCAAUCAUCUAUACAAAGUACACGUUAUGCAAUUAAACACCAAAAUAUGCGAAAAAUCCAAAAUGCUCUAAAAUACAUGAUUUGUGCACAGGGAAUAGGUACUGGUCUAAAAUGAAUUUAGGUGAAAGAAUUUCUAUUUUAUCUCAUUUCAUUUGAGAAUUAUGAAUUUUAGAAGUUUCGUCGGUAUAGUGUAGGAUUUACUUAGGUACUAUUGUGAAAUGCUGUUGUAACGUGAUUCUUAUUAAGUUUAUGUUUGCUGGGGUGAAUAUAUGUGUUUUCUAAGACUAACACAUUUGGUUUCAUAAUUUUUAGAGUUAAUAUGAAUUCUUUAUGUUUUUUUACAAGUUAUAACGUGUUAUAGGUGUAUAGUGUUCUAUAGGUUCAUGGCUUUAGAGGUUUAGGUCCAGAACUUGCCUCAUCUAGCUAGUGAUGUAUGAAAUGAGUAUUUUAGUUAACUAAUCUAACCUAAGUUCAUAGGCUUAUGGUCUUUAUUAUCAUGGUUCAUAUUUUAUAAACUAGGGGAGCUCUAGUCCAUGCUAGCAAUUUAUUAUAUCAACCUAAAAAUUAUUAUAUGAGCUAAGUGCCUUAAGUUUUGGUGGAUGGGGAUGGAACUAUGCAUUCACUGGUCUAACAAGUUUUAUGUGGGUUUCAUUAUAGCUAGAAUGUAUUUCUAUAUACAUUUAUAUAUAUACAUAUUGCUCAAUCGAUACUAUGUGAUCAGCACCUAUCAUAUAAAUUUAAAGUUUAAAGCUACAACCUGUACAGAAGGUUCCAUAUUUUAUUUUACUAUGUUGAAGCCCACUGUUUGCUGGUUCUAUAGAUAUUUGGUUCACUUCAUUUAGACUAAAGAUGAAUUUUCUACAAAUUUUACAAUUUAAGGUUGCUCUAUGAUGGUUAUUACUUACAUAAGUAUUUAGAGGCUUUUAUCAUACAGUAAGUAUAUAAUUUUAUUUUAUAACUUGGAAGUAUAUGUUUUGAUGAUUCUACAGAACUUGGGUUUACUCAAAAAGGAUCUAAGAUGAAUUUUAUAUGAACUUCUAAAAUUCAGCUUAUCUAAAACUAGUCAUUUAAAGGUAAUAGUUUUAGAGGCAUUUGAUGUAUAGUAUGUAUACUAUUUCAUUUUGCUUUAUAGGAGAACAUAAGUUGGUGGAUCUGUAGAAACUGAGUUUGCUCCAAAAUGAGUUGAGAUGUACUUUAUAUGCAUUUUAUAAGUUUGUGUAUGCUUUAUGUAUGAUUUAUCUUAGACCCAUUUUAGAGACAAGGUCUGUGCGGCGGGUGCCAAGCUUAAUGUUACCACAUUAAAGUUCAUAGUUUUGUGAACCUAUAGAAAUUUGAAUCAUCUCAAAAUAAGUUAUAUUUGAUUUUAUAUGGAUUUUACAAGUUUAGGUGUUUUGCUGUUAAAAAGUAAAGGUUUUUAGUAUUAUCUUUUACAUUUUCAGAUUUUAAACUCAUGGGGUUCACCUGUCGGUCUCAGGCCAAUAUGCAAAAAGGCCCCUAGGGUUUCAGGAAAUCAAACCGCAGUCCUAUGACUGUUUUGUGUGUCUUGAGCUUUUGCAGAAAGGAUCCUAUAUUAACCUAAAUUCUUGUGAGGAGGUCCCUGGUUCGAGCUGAAGCAGAUCAAGCCAUGGCUGAGCUCGAUCUCAAGCUUGCCAGCGGCAAACGGUGGCUCGUUUGAGGGUGCGACCAAAAGAAAAAAUAAAGAUCAUGCUAUUGCGAUUCCAUUCCUCUACUUUUCUCGGUCAGUGGACAUCGGAGUAACGCCGGCGGCGAGUCCGAGCGGCGGCUGUGCUUAGGCUGCUACUGCAUGCUGAGUUGGUGCUCGAUUCUAAGUGAAUGAAAUGCAUGAAUGCAAUCCUAUGGGCUCAAGGAUGCUCACCGAACCUUGAACGAGGCGCGGGAAAGUCUGGACAGCGGCAGCGGUGAAGAAUAUGGUCCGGCGACGGUGCAGAGCUCCGGGAAGACGGCAACGGCUCGAUCCA